UUAGCAUGGAAUAAUGAAAUAGGACGCGUGGUUCUAUUUUGUUGGUUUCUAGGACCGCCGUAAUGAUUAAUAGGGACAGUCGGAGGCAUCAGUAUUCAAUUGUCAGAGGUGAAAUUCUUGGAUUUAUUGAAGACUAACUACUGCGAAAGCAUUUGCCAAGGAUGUUUUCAUUAAUCAGGAACGAAAGUUAGGGGAUCGAAGACGAUCAGAUACCGUCGUAGUCUUAACCAUAAACUAUGCCGACUAGGGAUCGGACGAUGUUAUUUUUUGACGCGUUCGGCACCUUACGAGAAAUCAAAGUGCUUGGGCUCCAGGGGGAGUAUGGUCGCAAGGCUGAAACUUAAAGAAAUUGGCGGAAGGGCACCACCAGGGGUGGAGCCUGCGGCUUAAUUUGACUCAACACGGGGAAACUCACCAGGUCCAGACACAAUGAGGAUUGACAGAUUGAGAGCUCUUUCUUGAUUUUGUGGGUGGUGGUGCAUGGCCGUUCUUAGUUGGUGGAGUGAUUUGUCUGCUUAAUUGCGAUAACGAACGAGACCUUAACCUGCUAAAUAGCCCGCAUUGCUUUGGCAGUACGCCGGCUUCUUAGAGGGACUAUCGGCUCAAGCCGAUGGAAGUUUGAGGCAAUAACAGGUCUGUGAUGCCCUUAGAUGUUCUGGGCCGCACGCGCGCUACACUGACGGAGCCAGCGAGUACUUCCUUGGCCGAAAGGCCCGGGUAAUCUUGUUAAACUCCGUCGUGCUGGGGAUAGAGCAUUGCAAU
rnacentral:rRNA from 1 species